GGAUCCAGAUAAUGGCCAUCACAUCAUCAUUUAAGGCAGGACGUAAGGACUAACCAUGUCUCUUCUCCAGCUCUACAUAUUUCAUCCUGAGCAGCAAGGGAGGCUGAGAAAGUGGGCACUGGAGCCUUGGCAGCCUCUGUGUUAGAAGAGGGAGAAGAGGAUUGGUCAUAGGAGUAAGCAGAGCCAACCUACAGUGGUGGCCACAUGCACUUAAAAAAGAAAACUUCUGUUGUGUUGUUUGGUUUGUUUGUUUUGAGACAGGGUCUCACUCUAUUACCCAGGCUGGAGUGUGGUGGAUCACCGCAACUUCCACCUCCCGGGCUCAAGUGAACCUCCCACCUCAGCCUUCUGAGUAGCUGGGACUACAGGCCCGCACCACCACACCUGGCUAAUUUUUUUUGUAUUUUUUAUAGAGAUGGGGUUUCACCAUGUUGCCCAGGCUGGUUCCGAACUCUUGGGCUCAUGUGAUCCUCCCAAAGUGCUGGGUUUACAGGCGUGAGCCACUGCGCUCCACCAAAACUUCAGUUCUUAAUAAAACCAAACAUGAUAAAAAAUAAAACUCCUAGAAAGUUUCCUCCAUUAUUUUCAACUUUUCCCAGUUCUUUUAUGUUAGAAUUCUGGAAUCAGUUUGAAGAGACUGCACAAGACAAUUACUUUUGUGUCUGACCAUUCAAGGUGUGAGUUCCCAACCAGCAGUAUCAGCAUCUCAGGCUCCGUCCCAACUACUGAGCCAGAAUCUGCAUUUCAACAGGAUCCCAGAGUUCCUAAAACUGUUGGAAUCUCCUGAGUGAUCCAUAUAUAGGAGGAGUCUCUAAAACUCAGGCCAGAGGACCAAUGAGUUAAGUCUAUCAGGAACCUAAGUGCAGUGGGGACGUGUUCCCUCUUGGAGAAAAACUUGUCUUAAAAGAAGAGACUCAAGGCAUACAAGUUUGGUCCCAGGCAAUGUGUCACCAUCUAUUCAACAGUCGAUUAGCACCUCUUGUUCCCUUGCAAUAAAAUGACAAAUAAAACCAGCCAGGC